rnacentral:rRNA from 1 species
AUGACACCCAAAAAGUCCCGGCAUGACCGGGCAAGCAAGAAUCAAAACUGGAGAGUUUGAUCCUGGCUCAGAGCGAACGUUUGCGGCGGGCUUAACACAUGCAAGUCGAACGAGAAUCCCUUUGGGGAGGAAAGUGGCGCACGGGUGCGUAACACGUGGAUGACCUACCCCUUGGUUCGGGACAACAGCGGGAAACUGCUGCUAAUACCGGAUGUGUCGUAGCAAUACGAGAAAGGCCCGCAAGGGUCGCCAGAGGACGGGUCCGCGUCCCAUCAGCUAGUUGGUGAGGUAAUGGCUCACCAAGGCGAAGACGGGUAGCUGGUCUGAGAGGAUGAUCAGCCACACUGGAACUGAGACACGGUCCAGACUCCUAUGGGAGGCAGCAGUGGGGAAUAUUGCGCAAUGGGCGAAAGCCUGACGCAGCCACGCCGCGUGAGCGAUGAAGGUCUUCGGAUCGUAAAGCUCUGUGGGGGGAG